rnacentral:rRNA from 1 species
GGGGAAUAUUGCACAAUGGGCGCAAGCCUGAUGCAGCCAUGCCGCGUGUAUGAAGAAGGCCUUCGGGUUGUAAAGUACUUUCAGCAGUGAGGAAGGUGGAUAUGUUAAUAGCAUAUUCAUUUGACGUUAGCUGCAGAAGAAGCACCGGCUAACUCCGUGCCAGCAGCCGCGGUAAUACGGAGGGUGCGAGCGUUAAUCGGAAUUACUGGGCGUAAAGCGCAUGCAGGUGGUUUGUUAAGUCAGAUGUGAAAGCCCGGGGCUCAACCUCGGAAUUGCAUUUGAAACUGGCAAACUAGAGUACUGUAGAGGGGGUAGAAUUUCAGGUGUAGCGGUGAAAUGCGUAGAGAUCUGAAGGAAUACCGGUGGCGAAGGCGGCCCCCUGGACAGAUACUGACACUCAGAUGCGAAAGCGUGGGGAGCAAACAGGAUUAGAUACCCUGGUAG